rnacentral:rRNA from 1 species
GGGUAGAGUAAUGCGUGACCAACCUGCCCCAUGCUCCAGAAUAGCUCUUGGAAACGGGUGGUAAUGCUGGAUGCUCCAACUUGACGCAUGUCUUGUUGGGAAAGUGUUUAGUGGCAUGGGAUGGGGUCGCGUCCUAUCAGCUUGUAGGCGGGGUAAUGGCCCACCUAGGCUUCGACGGGUAGCCGGCCUGAGAGGGCGGACGGCCACAUUGGGACUGAGAUACGGUCCAGACUCCUACGGGAGGCAGCAGGC